rnacentral:rRNA from 1 species
GACGAACGCUGGCGGCGUGCCUAAUACAUGCAAGUCGAGCGAAGUUUUUCUGGUGCUUGCACUAGAAAAACUUAGCGGCGAACGGGUGAGUAACACGUAAAGAACCUGCCUCAUAGACUGGGACAACUAUUGGAAACGAUAGCUAAUACCGGAUAACAGUAUUUCUCGCAUGAGAGAUAUUUAAAAGUUGGUUAUGCUACCACUAUGAGAUGGCUUUGCGGUGCAUUAGCUAGUUGGUGGGGUAAAGGCCCACCAAGGCGACGAUGCAUAGCCGACCUGAGAGGGUGAUCGGCCACACUGGGACUGAGACACGGCCCAGACUCCUACGGGAGGCAGCAGUAGGGAAUCUUCCGCAAUGGGCGAAAGCCUGACGGAGCAACGCCGCGUGAGUGAAGAAGGAUUUCGGUUCGUAAAGCUCUGUUGUUAGGGAAGAAUGGAUAUGUAGUAACUAUACAUGUAAGAGACGGUACCUAACCAGAAAGCCACGGCUAACUACGUG